rnacentral:rRNA from 1 species
UACGUAGGGUGCAAGCGUUAAUCGGAAUUACUGGGCGUAAAGCGUGCGCAGGCGGUUUGUUAAGACAGUCGUGAAAUCCCCGGGCUUAACCUGGGAACUGCGAUUGUGACUGGCAAGCUAGAGUACGGCAGAGGGGGGUGGAAUUCCUGGUGUAGCAGUGAAAUGCGUAGAGAUCAGGAGGAACACCGAUGGCGAAGGCAGCCCCCUGGGCUAGUACUGACGCUCAUGCACGAAAGCGUGGGGAGCAAACAGGAUUAGAUACCCUGGUAGUCCACGCCCUAAACGAUGUCAAUUAGUUGUUGGUUCUUUAUUGAAUCAGUAACGUAGCUAACGCGUGAAAUUGACCGCCUGGGGAGUACGGUCGCAAGAUUA